rnacentral:lncRNA from 1 species
AUGGAGAAGCCAGUGGGACCUGCUGGGUCCCCUGACAUGUUGCUUCCCGCUUGCCAGAGGGCAAGAUGGGGGUCCAUCCCGGGCCACCGACCGCUGCAAAGCUUGCGGCCAACCUGCGAGGCGAAGAACGCGCCCGCGCGUGUCAGCCGGAGCAGCCGGCGGCGGAGAGCGAGGGAUUUGGGGAGGCAGAGCUGUCUCUUUAAGGCAGCAAAGGGAACUCUCCGGCUGCCACUUUGCGGAGUUCAGAGCAGAUCCCCGUUUUCAUUAGCAUUUCAUCUCAUCUCCUCCUCUCCCCCCCGCRCCCGCCCCACCUCUUCCGAAUCGGCAUUCCUGCAUCCCUUUCCGUGCAUCCCGGAGGAGCGGGUGAGAGUCCRGCUGGCGCCCGCAGGCACACGCGCCCGCGCCGAGCUGGCUGGGGAGAAACACCUGCGGGCGGCUGCCCACGCUCCCGCGUGCUGCGUCCCCCUCGCCGCACGCGAGCUCGGCUGGGAGUGUCCCCGCGCUCGCCUCGGCGCUGCUCCGCUCUUCUCGCGGUCCCUGGCUGCAGCGGCAGCCGAGCUCGGGCACGGAGCAGCUCGAGGGGCCCCGGCGCCCCGGGGGACGGAGCCCUGCAGGUUGGAAAGCCGGGCUGGGGGAGGCGAGAGCCGAGCAGCCCGGGGACCGGAGCACCGCCGGCAUCCAGAGCAUCCCUGGCAUCCAGAGCAUCCCCGGGACUGGAGCAUCCCUAGUGUCCGGAGCAUCCAGAGCAUCCUGGGGACCAGAGCAUCCCAGGAACCAGAGCAUCCCAGGAACCAGAGCAUCCCGGGACCGGAGCAUCCCGAGACCAGAGCAUCCCGAGACCAGAGCAUCCCGGGACCGGAGCAUCCCGGGACCAGAGCAUCCCAGGACCAGAGCAUCCAGAGCAUCGUGGCAUCCCGAACGCUGCACCAUCCUGAGCAUCCCGAGCAUCCUGAGCAUCCCAGGCAUCCCGAGCGUGGCGGCUCCCUAAGCAUCGUGGCAUCCUGA